AUUGAACGCUGGCGGCAGGCUUAACACAUGCAAGUCGAGCGGUAGCACCGGGGAGCUGGCUGCCUGGGGGACGAGCGGCGGACGGGUGAGUAAUGUCUGGGCAACUGCCUGAUGGAGGGGGAUAACUACUGGAAACGGUAGCUACUACCGCAUAACGUCGCAAGACCAGAGAGGGGGACCUUCGUUCCUCUUGCCGUCAGAUGUUCCCAGAUGGGAUUAGCUAGGAGGGGGGGUAAUGUCUCCCCUAGGCGACCAUCCCUAGGGGGUCUGAGAGGAUGACCAGCCACACUGGAACUGAGACACGGUCCAGACUCCUGCGGGAGGCAGCAGUGGGGAAUAUGACACAAUGGGCGCAAGCCUGAUGCAGCCAUGCCGCGUGUGUGAAGAAGGCCUUCGGGUUGUAAAGCACUUUCAGCGAGGAGGAAGGUGGUGAGCUUAAUACGUUCAUCAAUUGACGUUACUCGCAGAAGAAGCACCGGCUAACUACGUG
rnacentral:rRNA from 1 species